UGACAGUGGUGAUGAUGAUGACAAUGCGUCUCCUCCCUGAACACAGGAUGUGGGUUCAUAAGUCACUACCUCAUCUGAACUGGCU